rnacentral:rRNA from 1 species
UACGUAGGGGGCAAGCGUUGUCCGGAAUCAUUGGGCGUAAAGAGCGUGUAGGCGGCUUGGUAAGUCCGCUGUGAAAACUCGAGGCUCAACCUCGAGACGCCGGUGGAAACCAUCAGGCUAGAGUCCGGAAGAGGAGAGUGGAAUUCCUGGUGUAGCGGUGAAAUGCGCAGAUAUCAGGAAGAACACCCGUGGCUAAGGCGGCUCUCUAGUACGGUACUGACGCUGAGACGCGAAAGCGUGGGGAGCGAACAGG